rnacentral:rRNA from 1 species
CCUACGGGAGGCAGCAGUGAGGAAUAUUGGUCAAUGGCCGGAAGGCUGAACCAGCCAUGCCGCGUGAAGGUCAGUGCCCUAUGGGCGUUAAACUUCUUUUGUGCGGGAGCAAUAAUGGUCACGUGUGGCCAGACGAGAGUACCGUACGAAUAAGCAUCGGCUAACUCCGUGCCAGCAGCCGCGGUAAUACGGGGGAUGCAAGCGUUUUCCGGAUUUAUUGGGGUUAAAGGGUGCGUAGGCUGUGAGGUAAGUCAGCGGUGAAAUGCCCCCGCUCAACGGGGUGAAGUGCCAUUGCUACUGCCUUGCUGGAAUGCGGAUGCCGUGGGAGGAAUGUGUGGUGUAGCGGUGAAAUGCAUAGAUAUCACACAGAACACCGAUUGCGAAGGCAUCUCACGAAUCCGCGAUUGACGCUGAUGCACGAAAGCGUGGGUAUCAAACAGGAUUAGAUACCCGAGUAGUC